rnacentral:ribozyme from 15 species
AUUGUAUUUCUUUUUAUUUUAAUCUCAAUGAGCAUUGAUAAUUGAUACACAGACAAAAAAUAAAUGUUAAAUCAUACGUUAAUCAUGUGCGUCAGCUAACAUGUUUCCGUUCACAGUGUACUGAUGCUUUGUUUGAUGUUGGGAG